AGGGGCAAUAGCCAGGGCAAUGGCGAACCCAUUGACGGUGGGUGACUUGGUCUUGAUCAACCAGCUAGUGUUCCAGUUAUCGGUGCCCCUA